GUUUCUCUCUGUUUUUCUCAGUUUAGCUGAGCGAUUUUUCCAUCGCCUUCCCUGCCUUCGGGUAGGGGAUGGUGUCUCUUCUGACUGGAUUAGGUUCCCUCCCCUCCCUGGUCAGGAAUGUAUAGUUCUGGGUUUUGGUGGUUGGUUGUGCAGAUCCGAAUCUAUUACUAGAGAGGGUCUUAUGGAGGAGAUCUGCUGAUGGAAG
rnacentral:misc_RNA from 1 species